UCCUUUUCCUUUUUGCAUUUUUUUCUUUUUAAUUUUUUAGAUUGCUUGCGUUGGCAAAUGGAAUAAAGACUCAGAAUCCUAGAUUUCUACUUUCUAUCAGAAGCGUGUAACUGAUCUGUAAGCUCACCAGCCAAGCUGUCCAUUUGGAUUUCAGUAGAUAUAUGGAGUAUAUUUACUCACAUUGUCCAUGACUUGUUUGAAGAAAUUUCUCUUCUGAUUUGGUAUUGCAUUGUUGAGCACUUACUGUGAAUUACAUGCAGCAUGUGUAUGUUCUAUAGCUUCUAUUAUACAGUUUUCCUUCUUUUUUUCAGGUUGUCCAGAUGAGCACUGGCCACUGGGAAAUGGCAACUUGGUUGAACUGAAUCAGCUCUAAUCUCCCAAAUUUGUGCAUUUAUCUUAAAAAACACUGCAGUGCUACCUCCCCGUAGUAAUAAAUAAGUAUAUUAUGAAGCUCAUAUAUGAUUAUUACUAUUAUUUUUGCACGUUCAGUCAAUUCCACUGAUAAAUCAUUUAUGCAUUUUUAGAACAAGCAUCAAGCAUCAUGUGGCAUUAUAGUCAUUGAUGAAGAUUGACAAUGCACUCAAAUACAAGACUUAUGAUGGUGUUUGGUGACUGAUAAAGAUGAUUGGAAAGGUGCUUUCCAGGCAUAAGGGUGACAGUUUGUACAUCUAGGGAACCAGGGCAAUUUGGACAUGUGAUAUUUCCUCGAGUAAGCAAACUUCUUUUGUAUGGCCCAGCCUGAUGAUCAACACCCAUCUGGUUUUAUAUGGUGCCACUUUUGUUGUAUACAACAAGCAACUAUUCAUUUUGUGUGCCUUGCAACAACAUCAUAAUCUCAUUAAACCUGCAAUAGAUCACACAUUCAGUACAUUUCAAUUUCUAAUUAGUCUAGACCGUGAAGUAUCUGUUUUUUUAACAUAACAGGGUUAUCUGAUCAUAUAAUCUGUCACAAGUAGUAAGGGUGGGUAGAUGAGCAAAUUUUCCCAGAUGGCAAGAUAUCUAUACAAAUUAUGGAACUUGAAUCUGAACAUUGGAGAAGUGGACAGUGGACGAGACUACCAUUGUUAUAUAUAAUUAUAGUGAUAUUCAAAGCUAUUUUUUUGUCUUAAUGUAAAGUUUAUCGCAGACAGACAUCCACCCAGAAACACACACAUGAGACAUGACACACACACUUCCUUUUGGAUUUGCCGGUUCUAUGUUACCUCGGGAGCACAAAACUUGAGUAAUUAUAGCAAAACAAUUCAAAGAUGAGACUACGAACCAACCUGUGGGUGGAUGGUUAGAGGUACUGUGGUAUCUCCAGCCCAUCAGGGUUCAAAUCCUGGUGCUCGCAUUUAUUUCUGGAUUUAUUUCAAGAUUUCCGGUUAUGCGCAUUCAGUGGGAGGAGACGUUCCCGUUGACGACGAGGUGCCUACGGACUUCGUAAAUUUCAAAAUGACAUGCCGGCUCAGUCUUUCGGAGAUGCUCAUAGGGGUAAGGUGUGCGUGUGUGCGUUCAUAGAGGUAAGUGUGUGCGCGUGUACAUGAGCGCUUGUGUUUGUACUGAUGUUCAAAAAAAAUUGAAGGACGAAACUACUGGACAGUGCAGAAUACCUCUUUAUUCCCAUAUAAAGGACACAUAUUCCUUGCGA